GUUGACCUCGGAUCAGUAGGGA
rnacentral:rRNA from 1 species